CCUACGGGUGGCAGCAGUGAGGAAUAUUGGUCAAUGGCCGGAAGGCUGAACCAGCCAAGCAGCGUGAAGGACGAAGGUGCCACGCAUUGUAAACUUCUUUUGUCAAGGGACAAAAUCAGGCUCGAGAGCCUGACCGAGGGUACUUGAAGAAAAAGCAUCGGCUAACUCCGUGCCAGCAGCCGCGGUAAUACGGAGGAUGCGAGCGUUAUCCGGAUUUAUUGGGUUUAAAGGGUGCGUAGGGGGGCUGUUAAGUCAGGCGGAAAAGCCCGGGGCUCAACCCCCGGAUGGCCGUUGAAACUGGCUGUCUUGAGAUGUCGAGAGGUAUGCGGAAUGCGCAGUGUAGCGGUGAAAUGCUUAGAUAUUGCGCAGAACUCCGAUUGCGAAGGCAGCAUACCGGCGGCGAUCUGACGCUGAGGCACGAAAGCGUGGGUAUCGAACAGGAUUAGAUACCCCUGUAGUC
rnacentral:rRNA from 1 species